UGGGGGAUAUUGCACAAUGGGCGAAAGCCUGAUGCAGCGACGCCGCGUGGGGGAUGAAAGCCUUCGGGUUGUAAACUUCUUUUGCUCUGAACAAGGCGCACCAUGGGGUGUGUUGAGUGUAGGGGUUGAUUAGCGCCGGCUAACUACGUGCCAGCAGCCGCGGUAAUACGUAGGGCGCGAGCGUUGUCCGGAAUUAUUGGGCGUAAAGGGCUUGUAGGUGGCUGGUUGCGUCUGUCGUGAAAGCUCAUGGCUUAACUGUGGGUUUGCGGUGGGUACGGGCUGCUUGAGUGCAGUAGGGGAGGCUGGAAUUCCUGGUGUAGCGGUGGAAUGCGCAGAUAUCAGGAGGAAUACCGGUGGCGAAGGCGGGUCUCUGGGCUGUUACUGACACUGAGGAGCGAAAGCAUGGGGAGCGAACAGG
rnacentral:rRNA from 1 species